GGUUAAGCGAAUAAGCGUACACGGUGGAUGCCUAGGCAAUCAGAGGCGAUGAAGGACGUGCUAAUCUGCGAAAAGCGUCGGUAAGGUGAUAUGAACCGUUAUACCCGACGAUAUCCGAAUGGGGAAACCCAGUAUCCAGUGGAUACUAUCAUUAACUGAAUCCAUAGGUUAAUGAGGCGAACCGGGAGAACUGAAACAUCUCAGUACCCCGAGGAAAAGAAAUCAACCGAGAUUCCCCUAGUAGCGGCGAGCGAACGGGGAGCAGCCCAGAGUCUUAAUCAAUAACAGUGUCAGGAGAACGGUCUGGAAAGUCCGGCAGUAAAGGGUGAUAGCCCCGUAUCUGAAGAUGCUGUU
rnacentral:rRNA from 1 species